rnacentral:rRNA from 1 species
UUGUUCGCCAAACAACUACGAGUAGUAACUUAAAACUUAAAAGACUUGACGGUACUUCACCACCAACCUAGAGGAGCCUGUCUAAUAACCGAUAAUCCACGCUUAACCCAACCUUAUCUAGCCAACAGUCUAUAUACCACCGCCGUAAGCUUACCUUGUAAAAGGAAUAAAGUAAGCCAAAUAGUAGGACACUAAAACGACAGGUCGAGGUGUAACUUAUGAUAGGGCUCAGAUGGGCUACAUUCUCUUACCAGAGAACACGAAUAGGCUUAUGAAUAUAAACCUUAAAGGAGGAUUUAGCAGUAAGAUAAGAAUAAAAUACCUAUCUGAACACAACGCAAUGAAGUGCGUACACACCGCCCGUCACCCCUGUAUUAU